rnacentral:rRNA from 1 species
GAUGAACGCUGGCGGCGUGCCUAAUACAUGCAAGUCGAGCGAACGGACGAGAAGCUUGCUUUUCUGAUGUUAGCGGCGGACGGGUGAGUAACACGUGGAAACCCUCCUUUUAAGCCUGGGAAAAUUUCGGGAAACGGGAUCUAAUCCGGUAUAAUAUUUUGAACCGCAUGGUUCAAAGGUAAAAGACGGUCUUGCUGUAUCUAAUCGAGGGUUCUCCGCUGCAUUAGCUGGUUGGUAAGGUAACGGCUUACCAAGGCAAGGAUGCAUAGCCGACCUGAGAGGGUGAUCGGCCACACUGGAACUGAGACACGGUCCAGACUCCUACGGGAGGCAGCAGUAGGGAAUCUUCCGCAAUGGGCGAAAGCCUGACGGAGCAACGCCGCGUGAGUGAUGAAGGUCUUCGGAUCGUAAAACUCUGUUAUUAGGGAAGAACAUAUGUGUAAGUAACUGUGCACAUCUUGACGGUACCUAAUCAGAAAGCCACGGCUAACUACGUG